GGAAACUUAGGCUAGCACUUAGACCAAGGGCCUUCAAAGCCUUAAGCGAGGGUGAAAAUCCCCCAGUUCCCG
rnacentral:tRNA from 1 species